UUGACGGGGUGCCGGCAUUUUUGCUGGCUGAGACUUCACCCGUUGAACCUGAUCCGGUUAGUACCGGCGUAGGAAUCGAG
rnacentral:ncRNA from 1 species